UACGUGAGGGCGCAAGCGUUAUCCGGAAUUAUUGGGCGUAAAGCGUGCGCAGGCGGUUUUGUAAGUCUGUCGUGAAAUCCCCGGGCUCAACCUGGGAAUUGCGAUGGAGACUGCAAGGCUAGAAUCUGGCAGAGGGGGGUAGAAUUCCACGUGUAGCAGUGAAAUGCGUAGAGAUGUGGAGGAACACCGAUGGCGAAGGCAGCCCCCUGGGUCAAGAUUGACGCUCAUGCACGAAA
rnacentral:rRNA from 1 species